GUUAAAACUUUUUUGAAAAUGAUUAAGUAUAAAAAUAAGAUUGAAGUUCAUUUUAAUAUGUGAAUUUUCCUUAUGAGACAAAAAUACAUGAUAAAAAUUGAAAACAGUUUAUUAUAUUUUUAUACCAUUUAUGUACUAAUUAUUAUUAUUACUAUUUAUACUAUUAUACUUUAUGUUAAAUUUGCAUAAAAAUUCCUACUAAGUGAGAAAAUCUUUUAAAGAAUUUCAUUGGUUUUUAUAUAGACAAAACAUUCAGAGGCACAUGAUGGCCGGUUGUUCUUUUCAUGUCAUAAUUGAUCAAAGGGUUCAAGUAACCUUAGACUUAUUCCUUCAUUGUAAAGUUCCCCACAGCCUUUCGCCUUACGAUGUUUGAAACCUAUGAUCAGUCUUGCCUUCAUUAGGUACUACAGAAUAGUGGUUUAAAAAAAGACACAAAAACCUGCUUUAUGAUUUAUUAGCUAGAAACACACUAGUUUUAGAAUCUGCUUUU
rnacentral:lncRNA from 1 species